rnacentral:rRNA from 1 species
GAGUUUGAUCAUGGCUCAGGACGAACGCUGGCGGCGUGCUUAACACAUGCAAGUCGAGCGAAGGAAUACUUAGGAAGCCUUCGGGAAGAAUACGUAUUUCUUAGCGGCAGACGGGUGAGUAACGCGUGAGGAAUCUGCCUCGCACAAGGGGAUAGCCUCGGGAAACCGGGAUUAAUACCCUAUGAUACUUACACUGCGCAUGCAGAGUAAGUUAAAGGAUAUCGGUGUGAGAUGGCCUCGCGUCCCAUUAGCUUGUUGGCAGGGUAAAAGCCUACCAAGGCGACGAUGGGUAGCCGGCCUGAGAGGGUGAACGGCCACAUUGGAACUGAGACACGGUCCAGACUCCUACGGGAGGCAGCAGUGGGGAAUAUUGCACAAUGGAGGGAACUCUGAUGCAGCAACGCCGCGUGAGCGAAGAAGGUUUUAGGAUCGUAAAGCUCUGUCCUAGGGGAAGAUAAUGACGGUACCCGAGGAGGAAGCCCCGGCUAACUACGUGCCAGCAGCCGCGGUAAUAC